GUUCGAUUAGCUCAGCUGGUUAGAGCGUCCGACUGUUAAUCGGGAGGUCGACAGUUCAAGCCUGUCAUUGAACG
rnacentral:tRNA from 1 species